rnacentral:rRNA from 1 species
UGCGCAGGCGGUUGUACAAGACGGAUGUGAAAUCCCCGGGCUUAACCUGGGAAUGGCAUUCGUGACUGUACGGCUAGAGUGUGUUAGAGGGGGGUAGAAUUCCACGUGUAGCAGUGAAAUGCGUAGAUAUAUGGAGGAAUACCGAUGGCGAAGGCAGCCCCCUGGGAUAACACUGACGCUCAUGCACGAAAGCGUGGGGAGCAAACAGGAUUAGAUACCCUGGUAGUCCACGCCCUAAACGAUGUCAACUAGUUGUCGGGUCUUAAUUGACUUGGUAACGCAGCUAACGCGUGAAGUUGACCGCCUGGGGAGUACGGUCGCAAGAUUAAA